GUGGGGAAUUUUGGACAAUGGGGGAAACCCUGAUCCAGCCAUGCCGCGUGAGUGAUGAAGGCCUUCGGGUUGUAAAACUCUUUCGACGGGGACGAUAAUGACGGUACCCGUAGAAGAAGCUCCGGCUAACUUCGUGCCAGCAGCCGCGGUAAUACGAAGGGGGCUAGCGUUGUUCGGAAUUACUGGGCGUAAAGCGCGCGCAGGCGGCUAUCCAAGUCAGUGGUGAAAGCCCGGAGCUCAACUCCGGAACUGCCAUUGAAACUGUUUAGCUUGAGGACGAGAGAGGUGAGUGGAAUUCCCAGUGUAGAGGUGAAAUUCGUAGAUAUUGGGAAGAACACCAGUGGCGAAGGCGGCUCACUGGCUCGUAUCUGACGCUCAGGCGCGAUAGCGUGGGGAUCAAACAGGAUUAGAUACCCCGGUAGUCC
rnacentral:rRNA from 1 species